rnacentral:rRNA from 1 species
UGGGGAAUAUUGCACAAUGGGCGCAAGCCUGAUGCAGCCAUGCCGCGUGUAUGAAGAAGGCCUUCGGGUUGUAAGAUACUUUCAGCGAGGAGGAAGGUGUUGUGGUUAAUAACCGCAGCAAUUGACGUUACUCGCAGAAGAAGCACCGGCUAACUCCGUGCCAGCAGCCGCGGUAAUACGGAGGGUGCAAGCGUUAAUCGGAAUUACUGGGCGUAAAGCGCACGCAGGCGGUCUGUCAAGUCGGAUGUGAAAUCCCCGGGCUCAACCUGGGAACCGCAUCCGAAACUGGCAGGCUAGAGUCUUGUAGAGGGGGUAGAAUUCCAGGUGUAGCGGUGAAAUUGCGUAGAGAUCUGGAGGAAUACCGGUGGCGAAGGCGGCCCCCUGGACAAAGACUGACGCUCAGGUGCGAAAGCGUGGGAGCAAACA